AGAGUUUGACUCUGGCUCAGGAUGAACGCUAGCGAUAGGCUUAACACAUGCAAGUCGAGGGGCAGCGAGAUGUAGCAAUACGUCGUCGGCGACCGGCGAAUGGGUGAGUAACACGUAUGCAACUUACCUCUUAGUGGUGAAUAACUCGAUGAAAGUCGAACUAAUACACCAUAUUCUCCUUAGAUCACAUGAGAAGAGGAGGAAAGAUUAAUCGCUAAGAGAUAGGCCUGCGUUCCAUUAGCUCGUUGGUAAGGUAACGGCUUACCAAGGCAACGAUGGAUAGGGGGACUGAGAGGUUGACCCCCCACAUUGACACUGAGAUACGGGUCAAACUCCUACGGGAGGCAGCAGUGAGGAAUAUUGGUCAAUGGGCGAGAGCCUGAACCAGCCAAGUCGCGUGAAGGAAGACUGCCCGCAAGGGUUGUAAACUUCUUUUGUAUGGGAUUAAAGUCGUCUACGUGUAGACGUUUGCAGUUACCAUACGAAUAAGCAUCGGCUAACUCCGUGCCAGCAGCCGCGGUAAUACGGAGGAUGCGAGCGUUAUCCGGAAUUAUUGGGUUUAAAGGGUGCGUAGGUUGCAAGGGAAGUCAGGGGUGAAAAGCUGUAGCUCAACUAUGGUCUUGCCUUUGAAACUCUCUAGCUAGAGUGUACUGGAGGUACGUGGAACGUGUGGUGUAGCGGUGAAAUGCAUAGAUAUCACACAGAACUCCGAUUGCGCAGGCAGCGUACUACAUUACAACUGACACUGAAGCACGAAAGCGUGGGUAUCAAACAGGAUUAGAUACCCUGGUAGUCCACGCAGUAAACGAUGAUUACUAGGAGUUUGCGAUACAAUGUAAGCUCCACAGCGAAAGCGUUAAGUAAUCCACCUGGGGAGUACGCCGGCAACGGUGAAACUCAAAGGAAUUGACGGGGGCCCG
rnacentral:rRNA from 1 species